rnacentral:lncRNA from 1 species
AUUUUCUGUACUGCCUUUUAGAGGAAGACUCUAAAUAGUGCCCUGAUUGUGAACAGAUCUUGAUCAAACUUCUGGUCUGCUGUUUGAAGAGGAAGCUGUGAAUAAGAAUAGCACAAGAAGAUAAACAGCUACUUCAAAACAAAUUUUUCCAGCUCUCUUCCAAAUACAAAACGUUAUUGCGAUGUGCUGUGCUGCAAUUGAAGGCAUCUUGGUUGUGACAGGAAAAAAAAAAAAAAAAAGGAGCUACUGAAUUGCUUUGUAUUUAAGCAGACGCUCUGGAAGUCUGAGAGCAUGUGUUUUAUGUGCAACUUCUGACAACCUAGGGAAAAGAGAAAGUUGCUGAUCUGGAAAAACCAUGGAAGGUGUCAUGAGAAGAAUCAUGGCAGAAUGAGCUCAUUUUGAAAUCACUGUUCAAAACUACAGUGGAGGCUUAUGGGCUCUGUGAGUCUUUCACACCCAAACACUGAGGAGCAGGGAUAAAUUACCAGAAGAAUGCUGAAUCUGUCAUUCUUUCCUCUUUUUGCUUGGGGAAAUGGGACCAGUGUUAUGGGUGAAACGUCACCUCUCUUGACUACAUAUCCUCUUUUGAGAGUGGAACAGUGAAGGCAUAGAGGCGCAAUAUAAAUUUCACUUUCACUGUAGUCCAAAAUUGUGCUUAUCUUGCAUUUGUCAAGGUGGAGUUUGAAAUUCAAGUAAAUAUAAAGAAAGUUAUUUUCCUCCAG